AGAGCAACAGUAGCAGAGGGAGUGAGCCCAUGUUUUUUGUUUUUGCUUUUGCUUUUGGUUAGGUGUGUGGACUGUGGGAGUUUGAGGUUUUUUGUUGGGAAUGGAGUGGUCUUGUAAUGGGAGUACAAAUGUGGAGUGGACUGUGGAGAGAGAUGGAGUGAAGAAUGGGCUGUGGAGGAAAAUAUGAUGAGGCGUGUUGAACAAAGGAAGGAAAAACCAAAUGGAACAAAGGUAGGAGAGAGAGAGAGAGAGAGAGAGAGAGAGAGAGAGAGAGGA